CCAAUAGCGUAUAUUAAAGUUGUUGCAGUUAAAAAGCUCGUAGUUGAAUUUCGGGAUUAGUACGCUGGUCGUGCCUUUGGUAUGUACUGGUGUUACUGGUUCCUACCUUCUGACGAACCGUCAUGUCAUUAAUUUGGUGUGGCGGGAAAUCAGGACUGUUACUUUGAAAAAAUUAGAGUGUUUAAAGCAGGCUCGCGCUUGAAUACAUUAGCAUGGAAUAAUGAAAUAGGACGUUCGAUCCUAUUUUGUUGGUUUCUAGGAUUGACGUAAUGAUUAAUAGGGAUAGUUGGGGGCAUUAGUAUUCAAUUGUCAGAGGUGAAAUUCUUGGAUUUAUUGAAGACUAACUACUGCGAAAGCAUUUGCCAAGGAUGUUUUCAUUAAUCAAGAACGAAAGUUAGGGGAUCGAAGACGAUCAGAUACCGUCGUAGUCUUAACCAUAAACUAUGCCGACUAGGGAUCGGAUGAUGUUAAUUUUUUAAUGACUCAUUCGGCGCCUUACG
rnacentral:rRNA from 1 species